GACAGAGGUGCCAAGCGUUAGGCGGAAUCACUGGGCUUAAAGCGUGUGUAGGCGGGUCGUUAAGUACCUUGUGAGAUCCCACGGCUCAACCGUGGAACUGCUCGGUAUACUGGCGAUCUUGGGCCACUUAGGGGCUAGCGGAACAAACGGUGGAGCGGUGAAAUGCUUAGAUAUGACAUAGAACACCAAUUGCGAAGGCAGCUGGCUACACAUAUAUUGACACUGAGGCACGAAAGCGUGGGGAUCAAACAGG
rnacentral:rRNA from 1 species